GCGUCGAUAGCGCAGCUGGUUAGACACACGCCCUUGGAUAGAGAGAGAUGUGGGUUCGAGUCCCGCCAGAUGCA